AUCCUUUCGGAGUUCAUAAGCGUGAUGAUUGGGUGUUCACGUUGGUGUGUGAGAUGUGCCGCCCACUAACCUUGUUACGCUCUGGCACAUGACCCGUCUGACA